CCUACGGGUGGCUGCAGUGAGGAAUAUUGGUCAAUGGACGAGAGUCUGAACCAGCCAAGUAGCGUGAAGGAUGACUGCCCUAUGGGUUGUAAACUUCUUUUAUAUGGGAAUAAAAUGUUCCACGUGUGGGAUUUUGUAUGUACCAUAUGAAUAAGGAUCGGCUAACUCCGUGCCAGCAGCCGCGGUAAUACGGAGGAUCCGAGCGUUAUCCGGAUUUAUUGGGUUUAAAGGGAGCGUAGGGGGAUUGUUAAGUCAGUUGUGAAAGUUUGCGGCUCAACCGUAAAAUUGCAGUUGAAACUGGCAGUCUUGAGUACAGUAGAGGUGGGCGGAAUUCGGGGUGUAGCGGUGAAAUGCUUAGAUAUCACGAAGAACUCCGAUUGCGAAGGCAGUUCACUGGACUGCAACUGACACUGAGGCUCGAAAGUGUGGGUAUCAAACAGGAUUAGAUACCCGAGUAGUC
rnacentral:rRNA from 1 species